rnacentral:rRNA from 1 species
UACGGGGGGGCAAGCGUUGUUCGGAAUUACUGGGCGUAAAGGGCGUGUAGGUGGCCAACUAAGUCCGACGUGAAAUCCCCAGGCUUAACCUGGGAACUGCGUCGGAUACUGGAUGGCUUGAAUUCGGGAGAGGGAUGCAGAAUUCCAGGUGUAGCGGUGAAAUGCGUAGAUAUCUGGAGGAAUACCGGUGGCGAAGGCGGCACUCUGGGUCGGCCCUGACGCUGAGGCGCGAAAGCAUGGGGAGCGAACAGG